rnacentral:lncRNA from 10 species
AAAGGUUGGGGAAUCAGAACCAAAGAGCCCCUAAAAGCUGGGCAGUUCAUCAUUGAAUACCUAGGGGAGGUCGUCAGUGAACAGGAGUUCAGGAACAGGAUGAUUGAGCAGUAUCAUAAUCACAGUGACCACUACUGCCUGAACCUGGAUAGUGGGAUGGUGAUUGACAGUUACCGCAUGGGAAAUGAGGCCCGAUUCAUCAACCAUAGCUGUGACCCAAAUUGUGAAAUGCAGAAAUGGUAAGGAAGCAAAAGAAGGUGAAGACAAGAAUCCAGCAGAAUAAGCAUUGAGUGCAGCAAGGGAUUGAUCUUUCCAGUGUCAGUCAGCUUACACAAAGCAGCUCAGGCUGUUCCCCAUUACCCCAGAUCCCACGGGCAGAGUAAGCUGCUUCGUUUUCACCCUAACUUCUCACUCCCAGACAGAUAUUUUUGUUUUUAUUUGUGUUCUGUUUUUUUGUUUUGCUUUUUUGGUUUUUUUGUUUGGCAUGCAAGUAGUUUCAGGAUCUAUGUCCUAGAAAAAUAUAAUAAUGAUGAUGAUGAUAGCCAGGGUGGUGGUACACACCUGUAGUCCCAGCUAUUUGAGAGGUUGAGGUGAGA